rnacentral:lncRNA from 1 species
UAACAAAACGUCAUUUUAUUUACAAAGAAACAAAUACGGAAAGUGAUGCAGUUACUAAUUCUUUCAUAAGGAAAAUAAUAAAAAGAUGAAAGAUGACUGUACUUUGAAAUGAAAUUCAAGGAAUUAAAUGAUCGAAUAGGAUAUGUAAAAUAAAAUCGUUGAUUGAAAAUAUUUAUAAAUGAACCGUGAUCUCAUUACAUAUAUUUCAAGCCUGGAUUAUACAAAUUUCCUAAACAAUGUUAUGUGUUAGUGAAUUUACGUUUAAAACAUAAAAAAAGGUUCAAAUAAAGUACUUUCCAAGGCACGAAACAAAUGCAGACCUAAGUUGGAUAAUGAUGUACUAACACUUACAUGUUAUAAACAAGUAUCGUUCAUUUUUAUAUAUUCUUGUCUGUCACAUCUGAUAAAUUAAAUGUACAGUAUAUAUUCUUGAUGUCAACAAUCUGAUGUAAGAAUAUACAUUUUUGAUUAAGAUGUACGUAUAUAUUGUUUUAGUAGAACUUUUUUUUAUUACUUAGCAUUUUUUUCUGAUUCUUUAAUGCUGUCCAGUAGGUGUCUCACUCAUUUUUUUUUGUAAAAAAAUAUUUCCGGGGUCCACCACAAAAAAUAUUAUUAAGCGUAAAAACAAAAAAAGCAUGAAUAGAGUUGAAAAGAUAAUGAGUCCCCUGCACUAUGUUCUAAAGACUGUUUUAUAAAUGAUCCAGUAAUUUCGAAAUAAACUAGAGGCUCUAAAGAGCCUGUGUCGCUCACCUUGGUCUAUUUGAAUAUUAAAGGAAACAGAUGGAUUUAUGACAAA